AGAAGAAAAAAGAAGAAACCCAAUGUGACCUUUGAAUAGAAAAAGCCUACAAAGACAGGACAAAAUUGAAGAUGUGAUUUGGAUUGAAAAAAAAAUAUCUUGUAUGAUGGAGACCCCUGCAGUUGCUGAGCCCUUGUCAGCUCCCUGUGGAACUGAAGGCAGGUUUCACAUCUUUUACAGCCAGCAGGACUUUAAAGGAAAGGUACAGAUGGCACUACGCAUGAUUCCAGAUGGAUGCAGAUCUAUGGGACUCCAAAUAUGGUGUCAGCCUGGAGUGAAGUAUUUUAUAGAAGGAACGUGUGUAAUUGCAAUGAAAGCGAUGGUUGGACGCGGUGGUCAAGG
rnacentral:lncRNA from 1 species